UCACUCCAGUGAUGCUCAGAUUGCAGACAAUGGAGGCUCAGAGAGCAGGCUCAAAGGGAGAAAGGGACUUGGUGCAAUGAGUAAGAACUAGAAAAAAGUGCCUGAAUGUCAAAGAGAACUGGUGGGGACAGAGGUCUGACUCUGGACAGAACUUGAAGCUGCCACUGGAACUGUCUCAUCCAGCCACUGUGUCAUACAAAAAAGAAAGAAGAGGGUUUGUUCACGCAUCAUGAGGAAAUACCAGCUGCUCUAAAUGACUUCAAAUUUGCUUGAUCCAAACAAGUUGCAUGUCAGGUAUAGAAAGAGGGUGGAAGGAAGAGCCCAAGAAUCUAGGGUCUCAGAGACUUGAACUCUGGACUCAUGGUCAACCAGACUCUCUCUCCAUUCAGUUCCCAAACCAGUUUGUCACAACU
rnacentral:lncRNA from 1 species